rnacentral:lncRNA from 1 species
UCCGAUCACAAAUGUCUACAUCUUUUCCAUUUAUCUCCUAAUUCCAUGACUCUUUCAUCUGCUUUUCUCCUUUAACUCCUAUUAUUUCAGAUUUCAGCUAAACAAACUACAACCUAUUUUCCCAGUGUUUCCAAACCUGUCCCGAGGCAGAGAUGAUUGUAAAGAGCCCCUCAGGAGCACUUAUUUGUGGUUUCUAGGCUGAAGG